CAAAAAAAAGUCCUAAAGAAAAUAAACAAAACAAUAAUUAACCAAAAAGCCCCAACAAACAAACACACACCAAAAAUGUUCAAAUUGUGCAUCACUUAAAUAUCUUCCAACACAUCCAGCCAGAUCUAGCAAACAUCUAAACAUGUACAUAUAACCAUAUUUAAUCAAAUGCACUAUAUCUGAAGAGUUGCUGGUUUGCAUUUCAGCUAUCCCUACAGCUCUUAUGCAUUAUUUGUACUGACCUGUGCAAUCUAUUCUAUACAAUAAACCAGGAAUUUAAGAAAGAAAAACCACUCAGAGGUAACAAUUUCCAGCAAGGUCUUGGUUCUUGCCCCAUUUAGGUCCAAGGAAAAAGAAUGACACCUGAGGGAAUGGAGCCAUUUGGGAUGCAGAUGAUCCUUGACUUCCUUCUGCUCCAUCUCGAAGAAGUACCCGCUGAAGCUGCAUGUAAAAGCUGUUUAAAUGAAAAGGUGCUAUGUGAAAACCUAGACUUUUCUGACACCUCUCCUGACUGAGGCCUGUAAGGAGGGCGGAUGAUCAGAACAGUCUCUUCUGACUCUAACAGCGACAUACCUUAAAAACUGGCACAAUGCAAUGUCCCAGAAUCAUCUAAUUACCCAACAAGAACUUCAACUAAGAAAGAAAUUGAAUCACAGGAGAGAGAGAUAUAUUCCAGAUCCCAAGAGAAAGAUGCACAGAGCAAAUCUUGCAGAGAUAAACCAGGUCUGAGAGGGGAAGACGUGCUAUAAGCAGAAGAUGAAGACAAAACUUUAAAGUUGUUCCAUUUCAUUGACUCUCACUAGUGACUGUUUGAAACUGUUCUUUCUGAAUUGCCAGAAAUGGUAUUGUGAUUGGCAUAAACUCUGAGACUGCUUCAGAACAAGGCACGUUUUAAAUACAUUUGGACAUGUUGCUGUACUGAGUUUCAAUAAGAAUACUUGAAAGCUUUCUUUAAAGAGGACAUAAGACUUCCCUGCUUCCCAAGUAAUUUUUUUAUGGCAAAUCUUAUUAUAUGAAGGCAUCUUUCAAAAAGGUUGAAACCAUGGUCUUAAGUCAUUUUCUCCAGCAUCACGAAAUCAUUAUCACUGCAAUACUCCAACUGCCAAUGUCAUCCAGUACCAAGAAGCUGCACUGACUUAAAAAGAGAAAAACAAAAACCAAAUUAUCAGACAGUUGCUGGUAUAAAUGACAAGCUACUUUACUACUACAGUCUAUCCUGUCACACUCCCUUCCUGCGCACACUUCCCGCCUUCCCCAAUAAACUCUCUGAACAGGCUGAGGGAGCACAGGCUAUGUUAGAAAAGCUAGUCAAGGCCACAGUCAAUACUUGCAUCAUAUCACAACUGUGAAAAACAGGUUAAAGCAACCCAACCUGACUCCAGAAUUUUAGGUGAUUUUUAUAUACCAAACCCGAUCAGCCACAUCAGGUGCCCACACUAUUUUAAAACUCACACCUCUGGAGUGAUAGUACCUCUAAUUCUUCUUUAGGUUCCUCAAAACAUCACUCACUUUUUCUGCUUAAAGCAUUCCUUCCCCCGCUCUUAUUAUCUAGUUCAAACUUUUCCUUCCUUAGCCUUAAGCGAUUGCUCUUUCUCCUGCCAUCUGAGACCAAGCAAUUCCCUCUCUUCAUUUAUCUUACUACCUUGACGAUAUUAAUAGAGUAUUAAUAGUCACCUCUACUCACUCUAAAAAUUGAGUUCACUCUGCUUUUUGCUGCCCUCCUUUGUGUUCUCUCAUUUCCUCAGUGCCUCCACAAGCGAGACUUAACUGACAAAGUAUUCAAGGUAAGCAGGUCUGUGUAUAGGACCUUAUAAAAAAAAACAACAAUCACCUUAUUGCUCUGUAAUAGGAACUAUGAUAUAAACCAGUGUGAUACUUUUUUUUUUAAUUAACUUUGAUGAUUCUAUGUUGAUCCAUGAAAACGAUGUCCUACAGACCGGAGAAAUCCCAUUAAUCAAUUUUAAAGGAAAAUGUGAGUGGAAUAAACCAACAAAAGGCAGAUCUAUGUUGACUCAGUUGCUGAAGAGUAUACGCACUCUUGUCACAAACACAUCUGGCCAUUGUUACUGCACGGCCAAAGCACAACUGUGCUUUCAGCUUACCCCUCUGCACCCUUUUCUCAAGCUCCUGAGACAGAACACCAUUAAGUAUUAGUAAGAAUUAACUGUUACAUCGGGACUGGAUAGGGUUGAAAAAAGGGUUGAACAAAAAAUGACCCUCAUAAUUGGACAAACCUGAGGUCACGAAGAAGGAAUGCAGAAAAGUGUAUCCCAAAAUAAUCCCACAUAAACAUUUAAAAGCUUUUCCACUACAUAUUUGUAUGCAAAUAGAAAAUUAUAAAACCAUUGGAAAGACAUGGGCUUCCCCCCACCCCUGCCCACCACGAGAAGACAUUACAAUUUUAUUUUCUGGUCUGCACUACGUAGCUCUUCACAUGAAUUACAUCCUUGUGUUCAAAUCAGUAAUUUACUGUGGAAAAUCAGUUAAGACUCCCACACCCAUACCUUCCUCUCCCUCUUGAGUAAGGGGUCAAAUACCUGUUAUAUCUGCUACAUUAAAUAGCUCCUUUGAAGCCUCUAAGGGCAGUUUCCAAAACCAGUCUAGAGCACUGAAAUCGUUGUUUAAUAUCAACUGAGAUUUUUUUAAUCCAUCUGG